rnacentral:rRNA from 1 species
GGACUACUGGGGUAUCUAAUCCUGUUUGCUACCCACGCUUUCGUGCCUCAGCGUCAGUUAUGGUCCAGAAAGCCGUUUACACCACCGGUGUUCCUCCUGAUAUCUACGCAUUUCACCGCUACACCAGGAAUUCCACUUUCCUCUCCCACACUCUAGUCCCACAGUCUAUAGCGCACCCUCCCAGUUAAGCCGGGAGAUUUCACACCAUACUUAUAGGACCGCCUACGCACCCUUUACGCCCAGUAACUCCGAACAACGCUUGCUGCCUACGUAUUACCGCGGCUGCUGGCAC